rnacentral:rRNA from 1 species
UACGUAGGGCGCAAGCGUUAUCCGGAAUUAUUGGGCGUAAAGAGCUCGUAGGCGGUCUGUCGCGUCUGCUGUGAAAACUCAGGGCUUAACCCUGAGCUUGCAGUGGGUACGGGCAGACUAGAGUGCGGUAGGGGAGACUGGAAUUCCUGGUGUAGCGGUGAAAUGCGCAGAUAUCUGGAGGAACACCGGUGGCGAAGGCGGCAUCCUGGACCGGCAUUGACGCUGAGGCGCGAAAGCCAGGGGAGCAAACGGG